rnacentral:lncRNA from 1 species
CGUACAGACCUCCGAACAUAGGACUCCAAUAGCUCGUUUCAAACCUCUCGACUAUACUGGAACCAUUGGCGCUGACAGAAUCGGAUUCUGAUGCACGGUUAUUGAGAAAAAGGAUUUUUUUUAAGGAAAAGUGGCAAUUUUAGGGUUUUUGUGGAAAUUGGGAGAAUUAUGGAGGAAUGGGUGCGUCGCGAAUCGGGGACCAAAUCGGGCGAAACGAGAUGCUAGAUUAGAUGCCCUAGUCGUGCCGAUCGCACUGGCGCAAUCCGAUCGAUAAUCCGAUGGACGGAUUGACGAGAAUUCUGAAAUGAACGCAAAGGGGUCAAAAUGCAAUUU